rnacentral:tRNA from 1 species
GCGUCCUUAGCUCAACAGCAGAGUGCCGGUCUUCCAAACCGGCGAUGCGGGUGCGAGUCCCGCAGGGCGCUCCA